GAGUAAUACAUAAGUAACCUGCCCUAGACAGGGGGAUAACUAUUGGAAACGAUAGCUAAGACCGCAUAGGUACGGACACUGCAUGGUGACCGUAUUAAAAGUGCCUCAAAGCACUGGUAGAGGAUGGACUUAUGGCGCAUUAGCUGGUUGGCGGGGUAACGGCCCACCAAGGCGACGAUGCGUAGCCGACCUGAGAGGGUGACCGGCCACACUGGGACUGAGACACGGCCCAGACUCCUAGGGAGGCAGCAUG
rnacentral:rRNA from 1 species